ACGCUCGACACCUACUGGAGGCAGCAGUUGGGAAUAUUGGACAAUGGAGGAAACUCUGAUCCAGUGACGCCGCGUGAAGGAAGAAGGUCUUCGGAUUGUAAACUUAUUUUGUCAGGGAAGAAAAAUGACUGUACCUGAAGAAAAAGCACCGGCUAACUACGUGCCAGCAGCCGCGGUAAUCUGAGCGGGCUGGCAAGGC
rnacentral:rRNA from 1 species